rnacentral:rRNA from 1 species
CGGCGAGUGAAGCGGUAAGAGCUCAAAUUUGAAAGCUGGCUCCUUCGGGGUCCGCAUUGUAAUUUGCAGAGGAUGCUUCGGGAGCGGUCCCCAUCUAAGUGCCCUGGAACGGGACGUCAUAGAGGGUGAGAAUCCCGUAUGGGAUGGGGUGUCCGCGCCCGUGUGAAGCUCCUUCGACGAGUCGAGUUGUUUGGGAAUGCAGCUCUAAUUGGGUGGUAAAUUCCAUCUAAAGCUAAAUAUUGGCGAGAGACCGAUAGCGAACAAGUACAGUGAUGGAAAGAUGAAAAGAACUUUGAAAAGAGAGUGAAAAAGUACGUGAAAUUGUUGAAAGGGAAGGGCUUGAGAUCAGACUUGGUGUUUUGUGAUUAUCUUUCCUUCUUGGAUUGUGCACUCGCAUUAUACUGGGCCAGCAUCGGUUUGGGUGGUAGGAUAAUGACAUUGGAAUGUGGCUCUACUUCGGUGGAGUGUUAUAGACUUUGUUGAUACUGCCUACCUAGACCGAGGACUGCGUCUUUUGACUAGGAUGCUGGCGUAAUGAUCUUAAGCCGCCCGUCUUGUAACACGGACCAAGGAGUCUAACGUCUAUGCGAGUGUUUGGGUGUAAAACCCGUACGCGUAAUGAAAGUGAACGUAGGUGAGGGCUCUUUUUUGAGUGCAUCAUCGACCGAUCCUGAAGUCUUCGGAUGGAUUUGAGUAAGAGCAUAGCUGUUGGGACCCGAAAGAUGGUGAACUAUGCCUGAAU